GCCUGCAAGCCAUAUCAUCAUGCAGCUCCCAAAUGCCAGCCCACUGAAGCUCAGCAGGUGUGAGCCUGGUCAGUUCCUGGAUGGGUGACCUCCUGGGAAAAACUAAGGUUGCUGCUGGAA
rnacentral:rRNA from 1 species